GAUGAACGCUAGCUACAGGCUUAACACAUGCAAGUCGAGGGGUAACGAGAGGAAAGCUUGCUUUCCUUGUCGACGACCGGCGCACGGGUGAGUAACGCGUAUCCAACCUGCCCCCAACUAGGGAAUAACCUUGCGAAAGUAGACUAAUUCCCUAUAAUUUCCUCAGAUGAACUCUUACGAGGGAUAAAGAUUUAUCGGUUGUGGAUUGGGAUGCGUCUGAUUAGCUUGUUGGCGGGGUAACGGCCCACCAAGGCAACGAUCAGUAGGGGUUCUGAGAGGAAGGUGCCCCACAUUGGAGCUGAGACACGGUCCAAACUCCUACGGGAGGCAGCAGUGAGGAAUACUGGUCAAUGGGCGGAAGCCUGAACCAGCCAAGUAGCGUGCAGGAUGACGGCCCUAUGGGUUGUAAACUGCUUUUAUACAGGAAUAAAGUUAGCCACGUGUGGUUAUUUGUAGGUACUGUAUGAAUAAGGACCGGCUAAUUCCGUGCCAGCCGCCGCCGUAA
rnacentral:rRNA from 1 species